rnacentral:tRNA from 1 species
GGGGUUGUGGCUCAAGUGGUAGAGCGCUCACCUGGCACGUGUGAGGCACUGGGUUCGAUCCUCAGCACCCCA